CCUACGGGUAGCAGCAGUGAGGAAUAUUGGUCAAUGGACGAGAGUCUGAACCAGCCAAGUAGCGUGAAGGAUGACUGCCCUAUGUGUUGUAAACUUCUUUUAUAUGGGAAUAAAAUGUUCCACGUGUGGGAUUUUGUAUGUACCAUAUGAAUAAGGAUCGGCUAACUCCGUGCCAGCAGCCGCGGUAAUACGGAGGAUCCGAGCGUUAUCCGGAUUUAUUGGGUUUAAAGGGAGCGUAGGUGGAUUGUUAAGUCAGUUGUGAAAGUUUGCGGCUCAACCGUAAAAUUGCAGUUGAAACUGGCAGUCGUGAGUACAGUAGAGGUGGGCGGAAUUCGUGGUGUAGCGGUGAAAUGCUUAGAGAUCACGAAGAACUCCGAUUGCGAAGGCAGCUCACUGGACUGCAACUGACACUGAGGCUCGAAAGUGUGGGUAUCAAACAGGAUUAGAUACCCCAGUAGUC
rnacentral:rRNA from 1 species